UGGGGAAUUUUGGACAAUGGGCGAAAGCCUGAUCCAGCAAUGCCGCGUGUGUGAAGAAGGCCUUCGGGUUGUAAAGCACUUUUGUCCGGAAAGAAAUCCUUGGCUCUAAUACAGUCGGGGGAUGACGGUACCGGAAGAAUAAGCACCGGCUAACUACGUGCCAGCAGCCGCGGUAAUACGUAGGGUGCAAGCGUUAAUCGGAAUUACUGGGCGUAAAGCGUGCGCAGGCGGUUUGCUAAGACCGAUGUGAAAUCCCCGGGCUCAACCUGGGAACUGCAUUGGUGACUGGCAGGCUAGAGUAUGGCAGAGGGGGGUAGAAUUCCACGUGUAGCAGUGAAAUGCGUAGAGAUGUGGAGGAAUACCGAUGGCGAAGGCAGCCCCCUGGGCCAAUACUGACGCUCAUGCACGAAAGCGUGGGGAGCAAACAGGAUUAGAUACCCUGGUAGUCCACGCCCUAAAACGAUGUCAACUAGUUGUUGGGGAUUCAUUUCCUUAGUAACGUAGCUAACGCGUGAAGUUGACCGCCUGGGGAGUACGGUCGCAAGAUUAAAACUC
rnacentral:rRNA from 1 species